GUAACACGUGAGUAAUCUGCCGGGAAGUGGGGGAUAGCUCGCCGAAAGGCGAAUUAAUACCGCAUAUGGCCAUUCUUCAAUUGGAGAAAAAGCCAAAGCCGCAAGGCGCUUCCUGAUGAACUCGCGGCCUAUCAGCUUGAUGGCGGGGUAAAAGCCCACCAUGGCUAUGACGGGUAGCUGGUCUGAGAGGACGAUCAGCCACACUGGAACUGAGACACGGUCCAGACACC
rnacentral:rRNA from 1 species